AUGCAGAAUUAGGAGCUGGGAACGCAAGGACUGGAGACGUGCCUGCCACCCAGACGUGUAUGUGGAGCGGAGGGGCCUGCCCUGAAUAGUCAUUCCAUGUGCAAGGAACUUUGAAACCCUGGCUGCAUCUUCUCAGACAAGCGGCAUGAGCAAGGCUGCUGGAAUGCACCUCCUCUGCAGGCUGACGGCUUCUGUGUGACAUCUGGUGACUUCCCUGGGACCACUGCUAAAAGCUGCUCUGCGAGGCCUUGGAAUCCCGAGCUUAUUGUUGGAGAGCAGAAGAAAUCCUCAGGACUUGCUGCUUCCAGCUCCAGUUCCGGGCCAGAUGCCAGGUGAAAGGGGGCGUCUGCAUUGAUGGGCUCCCACUCAGCAGUGGGUCCUGGGCUGAACCUCCAAGAUUUACAAGCUCAGGCGGAGGAGGACUGCUGCCUUCAGACCCAGCAGAGGCUCCCACUGUGUGGCCCAGACUGCCUGCUUCCAAGCUUCUGGGAGCUGGGUUCCCUUCAGUGAAGAAAACAUUAACGUCAUUCGGCGGAUAAAGAAACCGAGCCUUGGAGAUGUGAAGCCGCACUGUUCA